GUCUGGCCUGCUCACUGAUAAUUUUAAAGAGCCGCGGUAUUUUGACCGUGCAAAGGUAGCAUAAUCAUUAGUCUCUUAAUUAGGGGCUAGAAUGAAAGGCUUGACGAGAAAUUAACUGUCUCUUAAUAAGUUUUAAAAUUUAACUUUUAAGUCAAAAGGCUUAAAUUUUUCUUUAGGACGAGAAGACCCUAUAGAGCUUGACAUUGUAUUUAUAUAUAAUUUUUAGUUAAUUUU
rnacentral:rRNA from 1 species